rnacentral:rRNA from 1 species
UACGUAGGUGGCGAGCGUUGUCCGGAUUUACUGGGCGUAAAGAGCGCGCAGGCGGCUGGGCAAGUCCGAUGUGAAAGCUUCCGGCUUAACUGGAAAAUUGCAUCGGAAACUGCUCGGCUUGAAGGUGGGAGAGGGUAGCGGAAUUCCCGGUGUAGUGGUGAAAUGCGUAGAUAUCAGGAGGAACACCAGUGGCGAAGGCGGCUUCCUGGACCGACACUGACGCUGAGGCGCGAAAGCGUGGGGAGCGAACAGG